UAUACAGAAUCAGUACUAUGUACUGGGAUGACAAGUAUGGCACGCAGAGUGUUACAUCAGAGAUCAUUUCAAGUAUGAGACUUGUGAUGGCCGAGGGCUCAAAUAAUUCUUCCAAUAAUUCUUUCUUGUUAGAUGAUGAUUCCAGCAUUCCAUUUUUGGUCAAUGAUAUCUCAAAGUCAAUGAC